GCAAAGGACCUCCCCGACCCCUCUAGGACCUUGCUGUGAAGUAGGGUGCCAACCAUCGGCCUUUCCCUGAGAUGUCCUCUUUUUCCUCUCAGCUCCACCCUGUCUCCACUCGCAGGUGGGUGAGGGUUCCCUGGGAUGUCAUUCCCAAAUACUCUCCGCUCAGAGUGACCCCAGCUUGGCUUCCUGGAUCUGUUUCCACCUGUGACUGAAUCUGAUGGCUGCCCUUUGGGGAAUGUUAAAGACAGGAGAACCCAGGAAUCCUCUGGACCAGCGUUGGCACCAAAGGGGUUAAAGACCGGAGCCCAGCACUGUCAAGGGUGUUUGAAGUAGGGCGGGGAAGGGAAGGGCUAGAGUUGUUGGAGAGGCAGCUGGUCUGGACUGGAAUGAGUCCCCCCUGUCUCCUAAGCAAACUUCUGGACCAUGAGCAAUUCCCUUAAAAGGAUCAAGAGAGAGGUACCCCCAUUAAGGUGCUGGACUGGAUUCUUAGAGGGGCUACCUGAAGCGGGACUUCCUCCCAUAUUGAAGUCACCAACCGAGGGCAAGAACGGGUCUCCCAUCUUUGGGAUAUCUCCUGAGUCUGACUGGCCUGUGUGCGGCUUCCAUGAACAGAGAAGUCCCAGAGGUGUUCCUCGCAGGUGGAGAUCUGGUGCCCCGAGGCCACACUCGCCGCUGCCUCUCUGCGGUGGAGUCCAGAGCGCAGCUGGAGGAAGAGGAAGAGGAGGAGAAUCAGAGGGAGGGGAGAAAAAAGGAGGGCGAAGCCUUCCAUGCUGUGCCCCUCCGAAGGUCGGGCGCUUUUCGUGCCCACAGCCACAACUACGACCCCUUCAAAAGGCAUAGCUGGGGGCCGGGCAGGGAGCUCCAGGAUCCACUGAACAGGUAAAACACCGGAGACCUCCUGUCUCUCCUCUCAAGUCCUAGACCCUGGAGAAAGUGGUUGGGAAGGAAUGACAGGAGUUGAAGAGGCCUGGGCCCCUAGCCUCUUGCCUGGAGAGUCUGAACCCAGGCCUGUGGCAGGCCUCUGAGGAGAAUGGACCCUGCCUUUCAGUAUGUGGCUCUCUCUAGUGUCCUAGCCCCUUCCUUCUACUAGUCUCCAGGGCAGUGGGUGAGACUGGAGAAGGGGAGGUGUGGAGGGGAGGUGAGAAGCAGGACACUCGGGUCUUACUGCCUCCUCCUCCCACUUGCGUUUAGCACAUACAGCAGAGUUAGAGCUGGAAGGGACUCAGGGAUCAUAUGGCCCAGUUGCCUCAUUUUACACAUGAGGAAACAGGCCCAGACAGCUUCGGAAGUUUUCUUGAGCCGUGCUCCCAGGGUUGGGACAUGGGACCUAGC
rnacentral:lncRNA from 1 species